rnacentral:lncRNA from 1 species
UCGAGAGAGGGUGAUUAGUUCUGCAAAUAGUUGCACUACAUUUUCAGUGGGAGUUUAUAGAGUUUGAUCAGGAAUAGUAUAACGCAGUUCAAACGUAAGUGUUUACUCGUUUUAAUUGUAUUUCAUUCCAUUUACUUAGAAGUCACAUUAUAUCCAAAUGUUAAAACAUUGUUUAGUGUUUUUAUCAUCUAUUGCAUUCGUUUUAUAAAUGUCCUGUACCAAGUCAGUAAUAUGUUAUCUAGUAGUGCGUGGCUAUGAAUUUUGCAUUAUUGUUUGUUGCACUUCUCAGUUCUCUUAUUUCGUUGUGAUUCUGUUAUAGUUGAUGUGUUUCUCUCGGUUUUAGUUUGUAACCCGGAUUUGUUUUCUCUCAAUUGGUUGAUGACUUUUGAAUAGCGGUAAACUACUGUUACUUUAUUUAUUUAUUUAUUUAUUUUUCUAUUCAAUCAUACUAAUCAUAAUAUUUUCACACUAUACAAUUAUAACGCGUUUUCAUCUACUAUCAAAUUACAGUUUAAAGAUAUUCCCUACAGAAACCUACACAGAUAUAUUUAUACUUUACAUAUUGCAGCAUUUUCACUUUGUUUUAUUCUUAUUUUGUUAAUUUAUUUCAUAAAAUUAAAAUUAAAAUUUGAAUUGACAGAUUGUCUCCAGCCAAACAAAAAUAAUAAUUGUAUAAUUUUAUACAACAACACCUUAGGUUAAAAUAGAUAUGCUUAUAUGAAAACAAAAAUUGCAUGUAUGUAGAUGUGUUCCUUUAUUAGAGACGUGGUGAAACGUUAUUUUUUAAAGACUGCAUAUUGAUCUAUAUUUAUUUUGGUUAUAUGUGUCAUUGGGUUUUUGUUUUAAUGACUUAUAACCACCAUGUCAAAAGUAAAAUAACAAAAAUACCGGAAUCAAAAUAAUAGCUAGCUAAACUUCUCAGUUGUAUGACAGUCGCACAGAAUUCUAUUUUAUUCACAACGAUUUGUGAGCACAAUUACAGACAUGAUAGGUACAAACGUCAAAAAUUAGGGUUCAGAAGUAAAAAUCAUAAUAUAAUAAAACUAUGAAAUAAAAUAACAACAAAAAAAUACAAAACGGCAAAACAACGCACAAAGGCAAAAAUAAAAGACAACAACUCAAACUUGACCAUAACACUAUAACAAAAAUUGCAGGGUGUAUAAGUACCAAUGACACGUCAUAAGUAUAUACUUAAAAUAUCGAUAAACAAUAGAGGUCAAGACAAUAAAAAUCAAAACCAAGGAGUACACAAAGACUCACAAAACCAAAGGACAUUUACAUCAACAGUUAUAAAUAAUAAUUAAGAAUAAACACGAACUCCACUAAAAUUGAACCAGGACAAAACAGGGGGAAUCCACACGUAAUUAAAAUGAUAAAAAACGUUAGUACCUAGAAUUUAUAAUUCAAGUUCAUCAUAUAUUAUUUGUGAAGUUGAUACGGAAUAUUUAUCAAUAAGUUCUUGGUAUCCGCAGUGAACGUUUGAGAAACAGAAAGUGACUAUUUAGUAUAACUUUGGCUCCUUAUCUCUCCGCAUAGACACCAGCAGGGGACUUAGUUUAACAUACAACCCUAUGGGGAAUACAUACAAAUGUCUCCUUUUAGAGAACCACUAUAUGGAACCAAACCAAACAUAGCAUGAAUGUUCUUUAUGAGGUACUGAUCAUGUGUUGUUACAUUGAAACCAAUCCAUCAUCCAAGAUGGCCGCCAGCGGGGGACGUAUUUUAACAUAGGACCCUAUGAGAUACAUGAGAUACAUACAAAUAUCUUCUUUUAGGGAACCACAAAAUGGAACGAAACCAAACAUAGCAUGAAUGCUACUUAUGAGGGGUUGACCAAGUGUUGUUACUUUGUAGAAGAUCCAUCAUCCAAGAUAACCGCGAGGGAGGACUUAGUUUAACAUAGGACCCUAUGGGGAAUACAUACAAAUGUCUCCUUUUAGAGAACCACUGAAUGGAACCAAACCAAACAUAGCAUUAAUUUAAUGUUUCUUAUGAGGUACUGACCAAGUGUUGAUACUUUGUAGCUGAUCCGUCAUCCAAGAUGACCGCAAGCGGGGGACUUAGUUUAAUUUAGGACCCUAUAGGAAAUACACAAAAAUGUCUUCCUUUAAGAGAACCACUGAAUGGAAUGAAACCAAACAUGACACUAAUGUUCCUUAUGAGGUGAUGAUGAAGUGUUGCUACUUUGUUGCUGAUUAAUGUUCAAGAUGGCCAUCAGGAUUUAUCAUUAAAUUUUGGGACCAAUAUUAAACAAAAUUCGGCCUCAAUCAUAAUUUAGGUAUCUGUUAUGAUUAUUAUCUUUUUUUUUUAAGGAUUUCACCCAAGUCAGGUGUGCGACACAGGCUCUUGGGAGUCUCUAGUUUAAUAAAUUAACAGCUCACUUAACAUGAAAAAGAAGGGGGAAAACUUCUAUAAUACCAUCCAUUUCCUUAGGAGUGUGUUGCAUUUUAGUUUCUCUUUCUAUAAAACAAUCACCGGUAUGAUACUAUCGGGAAAUCUUUUUAAAUUUUAAAAGUGUUUUCCUACAACCAAGUGCGAUUCUUUUUUGUUCCGGCUAUUUAGAUUAUAGAACUUGUCAAUUGUUUAAAACAAAAAGGUAAGGCCUUAUCUAGGAAAUUCAAUACUUUACCACUCAUGAAUAAGGAAGAAAAAAGUUGACGUGUGAAUUAAUAAAUACAUUUUUUUCCCGGACCUGUUAAGGAUGUAGCAAGGUUGAAUAUAUAUACAUAUAUUACAACUAUUAGAAUUGAUUUAUUCAGAAUAAACCACUAAGUCAGGAAUACGCUAGUACAACUGUCUUGUGCACUACAAUUGGAAUAAGAUUUAUUGCAUCUAUUCAUACGUAUUUUUAUAUCAGAAGCUAAGGUAACGUAGAAAGUAAAUUACUGUUUUGUCUUAUUAGAUAUAAGAAUAGAUCGUUGUUUUGCGCUUAGCAGUCACCUUCUAUUGUUCUUACAAGAUCGAUUUUGGAGUCAUUUAUUGAACCAAGGGCGAUAGGUUUAAUAUUUUACGGACAUUAUCACGAUAUAGAUGACCUUUAUCGGAUAUCCGUUAAAGAUAGAACAGGGCAUUUUAAUUGAAAACACAAUCUAUUCUUCCGUGAAGCGUUUAAUGGACUGUUGUCUUGUUCUUCUUGUCCAGAUGUCGUCAUACUUUCGGCAUAGUUGUUUUUAAUUUCUCACCUUGGUAUCUUCUUAGAAAACAUUUUGAAACCAUUUCAAAAGUUAAAUAAUAAAAUGAAUGAAUAUUAUAUGCAAAAUUUUACCGAGGCAAGCAUUGAAAGGUUGUCAGAAAUCGUAAAAAUACAGGGAGGCGGGGUAAACAAAGGUAAGAACAGCUGAAAAUAAGUCCAAAACAGGCUCUCAACUCAGUUAGUACGCGUACAUAAACAAAUCAGCAAAUAUAGCUUUGAAAAUACCGGCAUGCAUUCUUCAUCUCAAAGCCGUGAUAUUCUUUGGGAAAACCAGGUGUAAUCCACCAUUGUCUUCAUAGGAAAACACCUGUACAACGUCAGGAAUGUGACAGUUGUUAUCCAUUCGUUUGAUGUGUUUGAGCUUUGUUAUGCCAUUUGAUUACGGACUAUUCAUUUUGAAUUUCCUCAGAGUUCGGUAUUUUUUCUACGUUUUAUGAUAUCAUUCUCCCUAUGUUGUAUUGGUAAAAAAGCACAUGGCAUAACUCCAUUGAGGAGUGAAAUUCUAACAGAUACUGAUUAGCAACUUGAGAAAUUCGUAUUCUUGAUUAGGUCAAUUGGCAACAAUUUUGUGAAACUUGCAUCAUAGUGGUCUAAUACAUUUAUAACUUGCGAUAAUUGUCAUAUUGUGUUCUAAUGUAUUCAUUAUGCUUGUCGCCUAUUUAACUAUGCAUAUUGGAUGUGUGUUUGAUUUUUGAAUUGCUAAAUUUAUUCCUGGUUGAUAAUCAUAAUGUAGUACUCAAUUACAAAAAAACAUAGUGUUUGGGAUUUUAAGUUAGUUUUUCCGUUGAACAAUUUUUGUAAAGAACCGUCUUCAGAUUCAAGUUGAUAAUGCUAAUGAUGUUUCUCGACCUAAAUUCAAAAAUACGAAACACCGGAGGUAAAUUUUAACAUCAAUUAUUAUUUCUAAAUAUUAAAGAAUGAAUUUUAUUUUCAGUUGAUAUAUAAAAGAUGCAAAUUCAACAAAUUCAAGAUAUCCAGCUGCAGCCUGGUAAAGCAAAUUUUGAUAUCAAGGGUUGCACCAUUAAUGGCGAUAAGGUUCUAUUUACCGACAAAGGUAAUUGUCGGAUAAUAGUACACGAUGUAACAGGCCGUCAUGUUGAAGACAUUCCUCUAUCAGCAGAACCGUUUGAUAUUACAGCUAUAGAUAAUAACAUGGUAGCCGUCACAUUUGGCAGGAAGCAGUACUUUGAAAUUAUAAAUAUCAAUACCAAAGAAGUUACUAAAAAAACAACUGACGGAAACAGCUGGGGAAUGACGUAUGAGAAUGGAAAUUUAUAUAUGAUCGUCGAUGGUACUAUGCAUGGUAUCAAUGUGGCUGUUAUGACGUCAUCGGGAGAACUUUUUAAAAUGAUACCGGUCAGUACAGACUUUGACCAAACGGAAUAUGUGGCAGUAAAUGGAGACAGUUUAUUUUUUACAGUAUUCAUCCCUAAAGAUCUUGUAUGCAUGGAUGUGAAUGGUGCUGUUCAAUGGCAGUUCCAAAAGAACAUUUUUAACCAGCCAAGGGGAGUAACUACUGACACUCUCGGAAAUAUUUUUGUAGCUGGAUUUUCUUCACAUAAUGUGAUUGCUGUAAAGAAAAGUGGGAGCGAGGGUAGUGAAAUACUAAAUAAGAAUGAAGGCUUAAAUUAUCCCACAUCAAUUUAUUGCGACAAGACGAAUAACAGGUUGCUAGUUAGUAAUUUGAACAACGGACAUGCAUACCUGUUCAACAUAGUUUAUGACUAAAACAUGUGCUAUACAUCCUGAACAUAAUUUCCUGUAUAGUUGACUGGAUGUCUGUUUAAUUGUUUUCAUUUUUAUUAUAUGUAUUUUAAAGGACAA